rnacentral:rRNA from 1 species
GAUCCUGGCUCAGGAUGAACGCUGGCGGCAUGCCUAAUACAUGCAAGUCGAACGAAGUCUUUAGGAAGCUUGCUUCCAAAGAGACUUAGUGGCGAACGGGUGAGUAACACGUAGGUAACCUGCCCAUGUGCCCGGGGAUAACUGCUGGAAACGGUAGCUAAAACCGGAUAGGUAUGAGGGAGGCAUCUUUUCUCAUAUUAAAAGCACCUUCGGGUGUGAACAUGGAUGGACCUGCGGCGCAUUAG